rnacentral:lncRNA from 1 species
UUAUUUAUAAAAAAUUAAAAUCAAACAAAACUUAAAAAUAACUCUAAUUGCAUUAUAAAAAAAAUUAAACAUUUUUGAAAAAGCCUCCUAAAAAACAAUCAAGAAACGUAUAAGCCAAAAAUGUUUGACCAUGAAAAAUAAACGCGUUAGACACUUCAAUUAUUACCAUCGCAAAUAGAAAAAGAUUCUUCAUAAUUUUUUCCUUUCUUUCCCUCUACAAUACAAAGGUUACAAGCAUGCAACAACCGACGAAUAACCAUGUAGCAUUUGAAGGGUUAUAAAAAGAAUUAAUUAAUGGCAGAGGGGUUUAAAUGAAAUUUAAACUCAAAAGAAUUAAUCAAUGGGGAAUUCUAUUUGCAUUACUGUUUUUGCUUUGUAUACCGUUAUUCAAAAAAUUUUUUAAGUGAAAUUAUUAAAAUAUUUUUCUCUUAAAUUUUAUAAUUUUCAGAAAUAGAUUUUCAAUAAAUUAUAACAUUUCUUAAAAAUAUAUUUUUCAGAAGCCAUAACACUUAUCAAAAAUAUAUUUUUAAAAGUGUUA